rnacentral:rRNA from 1 species
UACGUAGGCAGCGAGCGUUGUUCGGAGUUACUGGGCGUAAAGGGCGCGUAGGCGGGCUGUAAAGUCAGUGGUGAAAAUCCUUCAGCUCAACUGGAGAAGUGCCGCUGAUACUGACAGUCUCGAGGGAGGUAGGGGUCGAUGGAACUAAUGGUGGAGCGGUGAAAUGCGUAGAUAUCAUUAGGAACGCCGGUGGCGAAAGCGAUCGACUGGACCUCUUCUGACGCUGGAGGCGCGAAAGCUAGGGGGAGCAAACGGG